ACGGGAGGCAGCAGUGGGGGAUAUUGCACAAUGGGCGAAAGCCUGAUGCAGCAACGCCGCGUGAGGGAAGAAGGUCUUCGGAUUGUAAACCUUUGUCCUAAGUGAAGAAACAAAUGACGGUAGCUUAGGAGGAAGCCACGGCUAACUACGUGCCAGCAGCCGCGGUAAUACGUAGGUGGCAAGCGUUGUCCGGAUUUACUGGGUGUAAAGGGUGCGCAGGCGGGAUUGCAAGUUGGAUGUGAAAUACCGAGGCUUAACUUCGGGGCUGCAUCCAAAACUGUAGUUCUUGAGAGAUGUAGAGGUAAGCGGAAUUCCGAGUGUAGCGGUGAAAUGCGUAGAUAUUCGGAGGAACACCAGUGGCGAAGGCGGCUUACUGGGCAUUUUCUGACGCUGAGGCACGAAAGUGUGGGGAGCAAACAGGAUUAGAUACCCUGGUA
rnacentral:rRNA from 1 species